GGUGGAUAUAUAUAGAUUAAAGGGUAUGUUAGAGGUAUCAGGGUGGAUAUAUAUAGAUUAAAGGGUAUGUUAGAGGUAUCAGGGUGGAUAUAUAUAGAUUAAAGGGUAUGUUAGAGGUAUCAGGGUGGAUAUAUAUAGAUUAAAGGGUAUGUUAGAGGUAUCAGGGUGGAUAUAUAUAGAUUAAAGGGUAUGUUAGAGGUAUCAGGGUGGAUAUAUAUAGAUUAAAGGGUAUGUUAGAGGUAUCAGGGUGGAUAUAUAUAGAUUAAAGGGUAUGUUAGAGGUAUCAGGGUGGAUAUAUAUAGAUUAAAGGGUAUGUUAGA